GAUGAACGCUGGCGGCGUGCCUAAUACAUGCAAGUCGAGCGAACAGACGAGGAGCUUGCUCCUCUGACGUUAGCGGCGGACGGGUGAGUAACACGUGGAUAACCUACCUAUAAGACUGGGAUAACUUCGGGAAACCGGAGCUAAUACCGGAUAAUAUAUUGAACCGCAUGGUUCAAUAGUGAAAGACGGUUUUGCUGUCACUUAUAAUUAGAUCCCCGCCGCAUUAGCUAGUUGGUAAGGUAACGGCCUACCAAGGCAACGAUGCGUAGCCGACCUGAGAGGGUGAUCGGCCACACUGGAACUGAGACACGGUCCAGACUCCUACGGGAGGCAGCAGUAGGGAAUCUUCCGCAAUGGGCGAAAGCCUGACGGAGCAACGCCGCGUGAGUGAUGAAGGUCUUCGGAUCGUAAAACUCUGUUAUUAGGGAAGAACAAAUGUGUAAGUAACUAUGCACGUCUUGACGGUACCUAAUCAGAAAGCCACGGCUAACUACGUG
rnacentral:rRNA from 1 species